CCGUUACCUCUUACGUAUCUUGCACUUUCCACUUUUCGCUUUUUACACUGUCUUCUGUCUUUUGUCCACAUUAACAAGUCUGAAUUUUGAGGUGUUGCCAAGGUCUCCAUAGAUCACAGACAAUGGUCAUGAAAGACGAAUAAAAAAAAGCUCUCGAGAAGAGAAGAACAAAAUAACAGGCAUGUCAAGGGGCUGCUGAAGACUGACAGCAUCGGAGAUCAGAAAUGACCAUUUUCCCUGCCGAAUAAGCCUAAAAGUGAAUUUGUUCCUUGGCUCCUGGCUUCCAUAAUAGCAUACGCACUCAGUGUAUGGUGACUGCUCUCAAAGCUCCAAAAUUGAAAAUCAAAUAAAGGUGGGAUGUCGGACGAUACCAACAAUGAUAGGUAAUCACCAAGUGAUCGUCGUCCAUCAUCUUCGGUCAGCAGGGGUCGACAAGAAGGACGGCAAGGGGGUAUGACAAAUCUGGGGUUGGGUGGUCGGGCAAUGGCCAUCGGGAAUCGUGCAUGGUGCCGCCGUUCGGCACCUUCGUAUUUGGCGCCUGGGUUUGAAGUGAGGUGGGGACAGCAAUGAAACGAUCAGUAGUACACAAAGGGAGGAAUGCAAAGGUGAAUGACAUGCC
rnacentral:sRNA from 1 species